rnacentral:lncRNA from 1 species
GAAUCCAAAGAUUUGAUAAACCCACCUCCUAUGGCACCCCAAACUUAGAGAAGCUGAAACACCAAUGAUCGAAGGAUUUGGAUGAGAAUCCGACAAACGCCACAACGAAUAGUUGAUAAGUUAGCCAAGAUUUCUGGUGCAAUUGAUGAAAGCAAAUCCUCACUCUCACUCAAAGCAAUACACGCCAAAGGCAUGAAAGAAAUUCUGAAAAGUUUGAUUAAAAGCUGCCUCUUACAAUUGUUUCUUAUCCUUAUAUAGUAAGGAGAAAAACAAAUAAAACCCUAAACACUCUUCUUGGGUCUGACUUAAACACCUAAGGCCCAAGCCCAAUCACACACUAAAAUAACGCAUAAGUAUUAAAACAUAAGCCCAAAACAUGGCCCAACACUCUAAAACUUAAAAGAUAAAAUAUGGCCAGAAUACAAGCCCAAACAAAGCUAAAAUAAAACAAGUGUUAAAUCAUAAAAAUAUAGCAAGCCCAUCAUAUCAAUGCUGAAUAAAUUAGACAGCGCUAUCUCCAUUACACACCUUAAGCAAGGCGAGUAGCUUAGGUGUGUCUUCAAGCUUCACGAGACAUUUGCCAAAGGCAAGCUCAGUCAAUUCUUGUAUUACUUGUUCUUGAAUGUGUAAGUUCAUAGCUGCUUCAAGCUUCUUAGCUUUACUCCUUGUCACUGGUCCACUAGGGAGCACCAAUGGAUCCUUGCUUCCUUGAUUCUUAUGUGAUUGGGUUUGCUGGUUCGUAUCAUGGGUUAAAACCAUAAACAAGCUCAAAUGGAGAAAACCCCGUGGAAGAAUGUAUGCUACGGUUAUAUGCAAAUUCAAUGAAAGGCAAAAAAUCUUCCCAAGUGUUCAAAUUCUUACCCACUAUAGCUCUGAGUAAGGUACCAAGAGUUCUAUUCACCACCUCUGUCUGGCCAUCUGUUUGUGGAUGACAAAUAGUAGAAUAUAAGAGUUUAGUACCCAACUUACCCCACAAUACUUUCCAAAAAUGCGAAAGGUACUUUGCAUCUCUAUCUGACACGAUUGUCCUUGGCACUCCAUGAAGUCGAACCACUUCCCUGAAGAACAAUUCAGCUACAUUGAUGGCGUCAUCAGUUUUAUGGCAAGGAAUAAAGUGAGCCAUCUUGCUAAACCUGUCGACAACAACAAAUAUGCUAUCUCUACCACGCCUAGUCCUAAGUAAGCCAAGCACAAAGUCCAUAGAAAUAUCCAUCCAAGGUGAACUAGGAACAAGUAAAGGCAUAUAAAGACCAUGAGGCAUAGACUUAGACUUUGCCUGUCUACAUGCAAUACAAGAAACGCACACUUUCUCAACAUCUUUGCGCAUAGAAGGCCAAUAAAAAUGCUCAAGUAAGGUGUCAUAAGUCUUAUGUACUCCAAAAUGCCCCAUCAAACCCUCUCAAUAAGAUUCAAGCACAAGCAAAUCACGCAUAGAGCAUCUAGGUGCACACAAUUUCUUACCCUUAAACAAGUAACCAUCAUGCCUAUAAAAAGAGUUAAAAGCUCCACGCUCACAAGCCACAAACAUAUUGCCGAAAUCAGUAUCAUUAAUGUACAAGUCCUUAACAUGCUCAAAACCAAGUAAUUUAGAACUCACAGCAUUAAUUAAAGCAGACCUCCUAGACAAAGCAUCUGCAACCACAUUGUCUUUCCCAUGCUUAUACUUAAUCACAUAUGGAAAUUGUUCAAUAAACUCAACCCACUCACCAUGCCUCUUAUUCAACUUGCCUUGUCCUUUCAAGUGUUUUAAGGAUUCAUGAUCCGUAUGUAUCACAAACUCCUUGGGCAGGAGAUAGUGUUGUCACCCGUCCAGUGCUCUCACCAAGGCAUACAGCUCCUUUUCAUAGGUUGAAUAAUUGAGAUGUGCUCCAUUCAACUUCUCGCUGAAAUAGGCUAUUGGUUUCUUUUCUUGCAUCAACACAGCCUCAAUACCUAUGCCAGAAGCAUCACACUCAAUUUCAAAAGUUUUAUCAAAGUUAGGUAAAGAUAAUAUAGGAGCGGAUGUUAACUUCCCUUUUGAGCAGUCAAAAGCUUUCUGUUGCUCCUCUCCCCACUUGAACCCAACUUCCUUCUUAAUAAUUCCUGUGAGUGGUGCUGCAAUCGUAGAGAAAUCGAGCACAAACCUCCUGUAAAAGCUUGCAAGGCCAUGAAAGCUCCUCACAUCUGAAAUAGAUUUAGGAAUAGGCCACUCCUUUAUAGCUUUCACCUUCUCUUCAUCUACCUCAAUUCUCUGUGCAUUCACAACAAAACCAAGGAAAAAUGUCUAUCUAUACAAAAUGUGCACUUCUUAAGUUUAGCAUACAAGCUCUCUUGCCUCAAAACCUGCGGAACCAACCUAACAUGCUCAAUAUCAAUGAAUUCCUGCAUCAUAGACUUAAAACUAGAAGGCAAAGAAGAAAGGUUAAUAUCAAUGUCAGCAAAUAAAAUCUCCUUAUAUCUUAUAAGCAACACGGGCUGCCCUAAAGAAAUAGCACCCUUAACCUCUCUCGCUCUCACAUAAAAUGUUUGUUUUGCCCUCCCCUCUUACAUCUUUUCUCUCACUAAUGGGCCAUUUAUAGGUCUUGAUUCUUUUCGAGCCUCUUUACCCUUAGACUCACUCUUUUCUCUCAUCUUUUCCGCAGAACUCAAGCUCUCACUCCCCUUUGUAGCCAAGGCCUAAGCCUCCCUCUCCCUCUCCAGCAUCUUUAUUUGAUCAGCAUAUACCUCUUGAGGUGAUAAAGGAGCGAGUAUAACCUUAUGUCCUUCAUGAGUAAAGGAGUACCUGUUAUUGAACCCAUCAUGCUGCACCUUUCUCUCAUAUUGCCACGGUCUACCCAACAACAUAUGGCUUGCCUGCAUAGGUACGACAUCACACAAGUUCUCAUCCUUGUACCUACUAAUAGAAAAUGGUAUAACCACCUGGCAUGUAACCCUAACCUCACCACAAUCAUUCAACUAUUGUAAUCUGUAUGGCUUAGGGUGUUUGAUAGAAGCCAAGCCCAAUUUCUCCACCAUAUACACACUAGCCACAUUUGUGCAACUACCUCCAUCAAUAAUGAGAGUACACACUUUUCCAUUAACUAAACACCUAGUGUGAAAUAUGUUUUCCCGUUGUUCUAGGCUUUCUUCCUUAACCUGGAUAUUUAGAGCACGCCUAGCAACAAGCAUCUCACCAUGUUCAGCAAGCAACACAUUAUCAACAAACACAUUCGAAUCAUCAUAGUCGUUAUGAGCAUCAAUCAAUUCAGUCAUAUUAGCAUAUAUCUCAUCAUCACUAUGAUCAGAAUCAGACACUACACCCCCAUCAACAGUUGCUAUCAUAACUCUCUUAUUAGGACAUUCAGAUGCAAUAUGUCCUUUCCCCAAGCAUUUAAAACAUUUUAUCUCUCUACUAUGGUUAGAAGAGUUAGAAUUUCCUGACUGUUGCUUGUUAUUACCUUGAGAAGGUCCUUUGUUAGUGGAGACCAAAUCUUUGCCCCCUUGGAUUGGGCUUUUGUAAUCUUUCUUUUCUCCACUUCUAUAGCCUGGAAAUCCACCACCACUAUUUGAGAACUUGUAUGUGAUUUUAAGGUUAUUUCUGCCCUUGUGACGCCUUUCUAUUUUCAUUGUUUUAUCAACCAUAUCCUCCAUGGUAUUGUAUUGGUACAUGUCAAGUUCUUCAGCAAUGUAGUGGUUAAGACCACCUAGAAACCUGGACAUCAACAUUUGCUCAUCCUCCUCAAUAUGAGCCCGAGCCAUCAUCAUCUCCAUCUUCUUGUGGUAUUCUUCCACACUCUUUCCUCCUUGCACCAGUCUUGCCAACCUUUUGUACAAAUCCCUAUAAUAGUGCGAGGAAUAAAUCUUUGGCGCAUCAACUCUUUCAAGUAUUCCUAUGGUGGAACUGCCCUUAAGCCCUUAUUCCUCCUAGUGGAUUUCAAUUGAUCCCACUAGAAAGAGGCAUAACCCGUGAACUCAACGGCAGGGAUAUGAGACUUCUUCUCCUCAGUAUAGUUAUGACACUCAAAUAUUUGCUCAGUUUUUCUCUCCCAUUCAAUGUAUUCUUCAGCAUUGUUAUUCCCUUUAAAUUCAGGAACUUUCAUCUUUAUUAAGGGUUACCGUCAAUUGUGUUGGUUUGGUAUGUCUCGGUGUCAUCAUCAUUUCUGCCAAGUCUAGCAUCUCCACCUCUAGUCCACCCAACGCCAGUUCUAUUACCUCCAUGAACUUCUCCUCUUCCCCUUCCUUGUCCGACAUUAUCUUCUGUAUCAUCAACUUCACCUCGGACUUGAGGUUCUCGAACUUGUGGUCUAUCGGGGUUAAGAAUUUGAUGAGCCAUUCUUGUAGAAGUGGAAGCCUGUGAGACUUUCAAACUCUCCAGAGUUUCGGUCAUCCUCUCAAGAGCCUUAUUGAGUCUUUGGAACUCACCACUGACUGACUUCAUAAAGAGUUUAUAAGCGAGACCCAUGUCCGAUUCACUUUCAUCAGUACUAUCCACCACAUUCUUGUCUUUACUCAUCCUACCUUAAAUCAACAAAGAACAAAGAACUAGCAAAUAUUGUGUUAGAAAAGAAAGCACUCAAGUGUUUGCACUCUUACCACUCUUUUGCUGAUUCUUCAAUUGCACUUCAGAAACUAAGGUCAAUCAACCAACCACAAGGUGCAUUUAAUGAAACAAAGAAGAAAAUCUAAAGAAAGUAGGAAACGUGCAAAACUAGAAAGAAGACACUGACAAUUUGGAAAGUAACACAAGAACUAGGUUUUGUGCUACUUGAAAAAUAUCACCUAGAGUAUAGACACAAGUAAACAAUACUCCAGCAAUGUCAAGGAAGUAAAAGCAAGCUUAAACCAAAAAAGGAAACUUAGAAUUCAAAUAAAAACGAACCUUGACAAAAGUUUGAAUUUAAUUCACUUCAAAGUAAAUUAAAUAUAGAUCUAUUUAAAUCUACCCAAAAAGGCAAGUAUCAAGACCGCACAAAUAGAAUCAGAAAAAAAAAUUUUAAUUUCACUCAGAUCAGCAUCAUGGACGAAAAUUCUAGCAUUAAAAGAAGGAUUUGACAUCAAAUCAAUUUAGAUGCAAUUACCUUAAAUGUGCACUUUAGGAAAUAGGCAGAAUUUCUUUUAUCUCCUAAUCUGGAUUCAAUGCAAUUCAAAAUUCAAAAUUGAUUCUCAUAAAUUACAGCCAUCAAUUGAAAUAGUUAAGGCAAUAUAGAUGAAAUAAAAAGUAUAUCACAAUUUCGGCCAGAUCAAGAUAAAUAAGGCAAAGGCGAUUUUUUUGUUUUUUUUUCUCUUUUUUUUUUAUGGAUUUCGAAUUUUUCUUCCAAAAGAGAUUAUGUGAUGAUUGAUAAUCAAGAAGGUACAGCCAUGGACACACAAGUUUUCACCGAAAUCAACAAGAAAGAAAAGGAAAACUCAAAACCCUUAGAUCCUAAGACGAAUUAGAAUUUACCUCACUUUGGCUCUGACACCGACGCGGAACCCUAUGGCACAAGCCUCAAACCCACAAGCAGAUAUGAAAUCCAAAGAUUUGAUAAACCCACCUCCUAUGGCACCCCACACUUAGAGAAGCUGAAACACCAAUGAUCGAAGGAUUUAGAUGAGAAUUCGACAAACGGCACAACGAAUAGUUGAUAAGUUAGCCAAGAUUCUUGGUGCAAUUGAUGAAAGCAAAUCCUCACUCUCACUCAAAGCAACACACGCCAAAGGCAUGAAAAGAAUUCUGAAAAUUUUGAUUCAAAGCUGCUCUAACAAGUGUUUCUUAUCCUUAUAUAGUAAGGAGAGAAAAUAGAACCCUAAGACACUCCUUUUAGGGUUGGUCGAACCACACACAAAACUCAAGCCCAAUCACACACUAAAAUAACACAUCAAACACAUAAGUAUU